UACGUAGGGUGCAAGCGUUGUCCGGAAUUAUUGGGCGUAAAGAGCUCGUAGGCGGUUUGUUGCGUCGGCUGUGAAAUCCCGAGGCUCAACCUCGGGUCUGCAGUCGAUACGAGCAAACUAGAGUGUUGCAGGGGAGACUGGAAUUCCUGGUGUAGCGGUGAAAUGCGCAGGAUAUCAGGAGGAACACCGGGUGGCGAAGGCGGGUCUCUGG
rnacentral:rRNA from 1 species